UUACGGUCAUAUCAUGUUGAAACACCAGUCCUCGUACGAUCACCGAAGUUAAGCAACGUCGAGCCUAGUCAGUACCUAGACGGAUGGCGGCUUGGGAAUACCAGGUACUGUAAG